GGACCAAGGAGUCUAGCAUGUGCGCGAGUCAUUGGGACUCUAAUGAAACCUAAAGGCGCAAUGAAAGUGAAGGUUCGCCUCGCGCGAACCUAGGGAGGAUGGUCGAUCGUUCGAGGUCGUCCCGCACUCCCUGGGCGUCUCGUUCUCAUUGCGAGAAGAGGCGCACCAAGAGCGUACACGCUGGGACCCGAAAGAUGGUGAACUAUGCCUGGUCAGGACGAAGUCAGGGGAAACCCUGAUGGAGGUCCGUAGCGAUUCUGACGUGCAAAUCGAUCGUCGGAACUGGGUAUAGGGGCGAAAGACUAAUCGAACCAUCUAGUAGCUGGUUCCCUCCGAAGUUUCCCUCAGGAUAGCUGGCGCUCGCUUCUCGCGAGUCUCAUUCGGUAAAGCGAAUGAUUAGAGGCAUUGGGGUCGAAACGGCCUCAACCUAUUCUCAAACUUUAAAUGGGUGAGAUCUCCGGCUUGCUUGAACUGUGAAGCCGCGAGAUAUCGGAUCAGAGUGCCAAGUGGGCCACUUUUGGUAAGCAGAACUGGCGCUGUGGGAUGAACCAAACGCCGAGUUAAAGCGCCUAAAUCGACGCUUAUGGGAUACCAUGAAAGGCGUUGGUAACUUAAGACAGCAGGACGGUGGCCAUGGAAGUCGGA
rnacentral:rRNA from 1 species